UUUGACAUUUAUUUCUAAAUAUUACAAAAAAAAAAAAGGACGGACCGCACCAGGCCCCUUCAGGCUACAGCCGAGUGUCACCUGAGCUACGCAGCAAGGACGCAUAGCGCUAUCCGACGUAAUCGUCAAUUAUAUAUAUUACGGGACCAAUCAUGGUACCAAGAUGGCCAGAUACACCGCCCCAGGGGGCAGAAGGACCAUUCGAGGGGCCACUGCUGGAUGGGAUACCGCCGCCUCUCAAUGCUUUCUUCGCCCCCUUUCACGAGGGCUAGUGCUUAUUCGGCUGCUUAUACGUGCGGGGCGGGGAGGAGGAGGAGGAGCUAUGCUACGGCAGUGAACCACGUGCAAGCAGUAUACAUACCGUGGGCAAGUCAAGGAUGAUUAUACAAAUACGGAAGACGAUGGAUCAGUAAAUUGUAUUUAUAACGUAACAAUCAGCACAGAAUGUCGUCCAACCAACAAACUGGUCGUAAUGAUUUCAAUUGUAUUACAUACUACAGAAGACAAUUAUACAAGGUGUACUUAUCUAUAUGUUUUGUCACGCGAGUCCUGUCCUAACAGCGUCCCGGCCCACACACAACUGAACUCUCCCCCGCUUCCGUCCCAUCCCCACGCUGCUUCUCUUUUAUUAUUGUUCUUCUCAAACCAACCCUCCCUUGCUUCUGACCAAUCACAGAGGGUCAUAAACACACCAUUUAUCUUCGAUUGAUCUUGAGUUUUACAAAACUAAUCAAUACUCUAACAGGUGCAUGCGAGCACAGACGGCUGAGCACAGAGCGGAGUACACAGCGCGUGUAAAACAUUAUUUAAAGAUUGACCCCGCGAUAGAUCUGCGCGUGGGCGCCUGUGUAUGCUGUGCUCGGUGUGUGAUCCACGCGUAUGCACCCAGCGAUUGCAUAGCUUGCAUAGGGUACUUCUGCGAUAAUAGGGAGCUGUUAUUAAGGCAGGGGGUUGCAGAAGUCCCUCCCCCGCCCCAGGUAUGAGAUGUAAAUAUGUAAAUUUUUUUGUCAUACGUCAUUAUUUAUUAUUAUUAUAUAUAUAUUGUAACGUGGCAUAAGGCGCCCGGCUUGGGUGCGCCACGUUACAUUAAGGGAUACAACCCGCGGGUCCGCGUCUAAGGGUCGCGCGAUCGGGGUGGGAGGGGGUUCAGCUGCGGUGGCGGCGGGGCGGAUCGGAAGGCGAGGCACGAGGGCCGAUACCCUACGCUGAGGAUGCCACCG